AAUAUUUUACUUGAUUCAUUCCAUAAGUUAAAACAUACAAGAGUUCCACUUUAUUACAUAGCCAGAGUUUUUCAUUCUACCCUUUUUAGCUAGUUUAUCAGCUACAUCAUUGGCAAUUCUUGGAAUCUUUAAGUAAAAUCAAAUGAGAACCUUUUAUGAGGUUUAAGAUGUCUCAACAUAGGUCUAAUGAUGAUUGUAUUGAGAUCUCAGUUCACUUUCCCCCUGGUU
rnacentral:lncRNA from 1 species